AGGGAAGGAAGAAAGAAAGGAAAAUGGGUUGCUAUGUUGACAUUCCAAUUGGGCCAAACACUUCAGCAGCUCAGUCUAUAAAAUCCACGGCCAAUUCACCCCAGACCCGGUCCACUUCGCCUGGUCUCCAAAAGACUACCAAACGACCCCGUUUUGGACCAGGGCAAUCUCAGCCAUCCUUCAAACCCCAUCCAACGGCCCUGAAUUAACCCCCAUUUUAUAUAAAACUCUCUUAAACCAGCCCCGCCAAAGACUCUCUCACACGCCCAAACGCCUCUCAUCUAUCCUCACUGUGUAUCAGCCGUUUGCCGCCGCCGAAAAUCGUCCACGGCGGCGGCCAACCUCUAAACAUCCCCAAAAUUUCAAAUACAACCUCCUCCUCCUCCUCUUUCACAAUCUCUAGCUAUUUUCUUCUAAAAACCCCUUAAGCAUCACGAAUAGUAGAUCUAAGAAGGCCGGAAAAAACCCUAAAUCUGUCCUUUUCUGAUUUCUCCUCAAUCUCGGCCCGUUUGAACUCGAAACCUACAUCAAUUGAUUGCUCUUGAUUAGAGCGAUCAAUUGAUGUUAGUAUUGGUUCAUUUCACGGCCACCAGAAUCUGGUCCCCCAUAUUGCUUCGAUUGUUUUCUCCGACUCGUUGGAUUUUCUGUGUUAAACGCCGUCUGAAUUAGAAGGUAUAUCCUCCUUGCCGUCUCUUUCAUGUUCCCAUUAUUUCAGUUUUCUCGUGUCUUUGAUUGAUUGUUUGAGCAUAAUUAUUUUUAGUGAUUGCAUACAUGUGUGUCACUCCGAUUUUUUGAUUGUUUCACCACAUGAAUAAGUGUCAAUGGGUAUUAUCAUGUAUCUCAGUUCCAUUGAAAUCUUUGGAUUCAUUUGAUUAUGGAUUUUAGUCUUUUAGAUGAUCAGACUUAGUUUAUGUUGAAUUGAUUUUGCGAUUUUAUUAGUGAUGCACAUGUCUCAUAUGGUUCGGUUGGUUUUGUUUUGGAUUUGGGAGUGUGGUGGUGGGCUAGGAACAAGGCCCAGAUGUAGGCCCAACUCAAGUGGACUUUAGGAGCAAUUAGGAGAAGAAGUAAAAUCUGGAAAAUUGGUAAAUAACAGUAAAUACAGGGGUUAAUUGGGGAAGUUCAAUUAAAAGAAUCUUUUGGUAAAUGAUUUAGGAAGCUUCUAAAAAGGACUAAAGUGCAACGAAAGGGAAAGAAAAGGGGGUCGGGUGCUGGUCUUAGAGGGUAAAUAACAGAAAAGAAAGGAGGAAAAAAUAAGGAAAGAAUAAUAUGAAAAACAACUGUACAAAAAUAUGUAAAAUGCCUUUUCCCCACAUUUUCUAUAUAUUCUCUCAUUUUGCAUAUCACAAGGACACUUUUCAUUUUGCAUUUUUCAGAGAAUACACAUUCCUCUUUGUUUACCCGAAAAACGGAUAGGGUUGAAUUUAUACGUGGUUCUAGGGACACGUGGUAUAAAUUGGUACAAACCAGAAAGAUAAGUAGAAAUAUAUCGAAUGUUUAUUGCAAAAAAUGAAUGAAAUACAAACCAAAUUGAUUAGAGAAUGAUUUAUAAACGAGCAAGAUGAAUUAAUGUCCAAAGCUCAAAAAAAGAUAAUCUCUCUCUAUAUCUCUGUUUUUGAAAUGGUUUAUGGCCCGGUCACUUAAAAAUUCUCGAAGAUGCCUUUUAUUGAAUAACCGGGCUACCUCCUCUCAGUUGCCUGCAAUCUUCCGUUCUGUGGCCAUGAGUGCCAUACUAUUCGCACAUUUGAUUGGGAUUCCUCUGGGCUGGAUCGGUCUGCAGAGGUCGGGGCCACUUAGUAUCUUUGAUGCGUCCGAUAGCUGACACGAUGGCGGAUGCAUCGAUGUUGAAGUUAUAUUCUGAUAGCCGUGGUGCUUCCUUAGGUCCGGUAUGCCUGUCGAACCCAUUCCUGUUCAUCAGCCCUCGAGACCCUUGGCCUCGAUCACUUCUUUUAUUUCUUUGUACGGGGUCACGUCUUGGUUCGCUACCCCUAUAAUCUCCACUAUACGACCGGUAUCGGUCCCUGAUCGGCCUUGGUUCGCGGUUGAUGUCCCUUUUAAUAACGGACCCAGAACCCGACUGGUCGUCUUCGACUCUAAUCUUCGAUUGAUACCGAUUGUGUACAUCGGCCCAGGCAACAGCUGGGUACUCUAUUAGGUUCUGCUUCAACCGUUGUGAAACUAUCGAGCUUCGUUCGUUCAGACCUUGAGUGAAAGCUUGAACAGCCCAAUCGUCUGUGACUGGUGGUAGGUCCAUUCGUUCCAUUUGGAAACGGGAUACGAAUUCUCUUAGCAUCGCGUUAUCUUUUUGUCUUACCUUGAAAAGGUCUGACUUCUUGGUCUCGACCUUUAUGACUACUACACGUGCUUUUACGAAAGAAUCUGCAAGCAUAGCAAAAGAAUCGAUAGAGUUAGACGGUAAAUUAUGAUACCAUGUUAUUGCUCCUUUUGACAGGGUUUCACCAAUUUUUUUCUAUAAUACGGAUUCGAUCUCGUCGUCUUCUAAAUCAUUUCCUUUAAUGGCACAUGUGUAAGAGGUGACGUGUUCGUUGGAGUUGGUCGUUCCAUUAUAUUUAGGAAUUUCGGGCAUGCGGAACUUCUUGGGGAUCAGUUUUGGAGCUGAGCUCGGGGGGAAGGGCUUUUGUACGAAUUUUUUGGAAUCCAAGACCUUCAAUAUUGGUGGUGCCCUCGGGAUCUGAUCAACCCUGGAAUUAUAAAUUUUCACUUUUUUGUCAUUUGCUUCAAUCCUCCUCUCUUCUGACUCUGUUCGUUUUGUCAGUUCCUCGAGCAUCUUAACAAUUUUGGGAUGUGUCCCCGAUUCUUGCUCAUUUGACCUUACUACAGCUGGCCUUGUUGUGUGGGUGACUUCUCGGGGUGGACUAGGCUCGGGCCUGCUCGGUGCCUAGGUUUGGCUCUGCAACUGAGCUAUCGCUACCUGUUGAGCUUGCAACAUUUCGAAAAUCAUACGCGAGCUGAUUCCGUUUUCCUCAACGUUUUGGGUAUUUCGAGUUGCAGAUCGAGUUCCACCAUGAAUGCUAUUUUCAGGGUCGGAACGUUGGUUUGCCUCGAUGGCCACAUGUGAAUUAACGUCUACUGGCUCUUUGACACGAGCUCCAACGGGAUCGACGAGUGGCCUUUCAUCUCCGGGCGUCAAGUUGCUGUUCUCAUCUUGAAUGCCAGUUUCGUUGUCGAUAGGUAGGGCCAUUAAUAGAGAAUUCGUCGUUUUCAACCUGAAAUUAAAGAUACUUCCAAGAACAAGUGAAAAAAUAGUGUGUUUCAGAGAGGUUCGUACCAAAUAGUCACUAUUAUCCUUAGCCCCACGGUGGACGCCAAACUGUUUACCCGAAAAACGGAUAAGGUUGAAUUUAUACGUGGUUCUAAGGACACGUGGUAUAAAUUGGUACAAACCGGGAAGAUAAGUAGAAAUAUAUUGAAUGUUUAUUGCAAAAAGGAAUGAAAUACAAAUCAAAUUGAUUAGAGAAUGAUUUAUAAACGUGCAAGAUGAAUCAAUGUCUAAAGCUCAAAAAAUGAUAAUCUCUCUAUAUAUCGGUGUAAUAAUCUUUGAAAUGUGAGAGUGUAUCAAUGUAUGCUUCUCUAGAUGUUCAAUUUCCCUUUAUAGAAAUAAUACCCACUCUUAAUAUAGUGGAGGAAUCCUACUUGGGGUAUAAUAAAAAAUACAUAGUGGGGAUCCCAUGAUAGAUUAAUUGAUUAACUUUUCCUCGAUUCCCGUCGAGAUUCUCUCCCUGGUACGGCUACAACAACUCUUUGUCUCUUAGCUCGAUCUUGGCCGGUAUCGGUCGAUCUCUGGAUCUCGAGCUCGAUAUUGACUCGAGCUCGGUAUUGAUCGGUCUCUGACUCUUGAGCUCGAUAACACUACUUCAUGUCAUAACUCGAUAUUGACUCGAGCUCGGUAUCUUGAGCUCGACAACCUGACUUUACUUAUAAUCUCGAUGUUACAAUGACGACCCUUGGUUCAUCAUGUUCUAAUAUCGACUAAUUACACGAAGAGCAAACUCGGAUUUGACCGUAUACACUCUCCUCUCCUCAUUCACUCUUACACAUGCAAAAAGCCCUAGUAGCAGCUGUAAUUUUAGAUUCCAGAUCUGAAUUUUAAAUGCUGCAAAAAACUCUCCAAAACAGAAUCAAAACAUUAAAAAAAAAGAUUUGAAAAGCUGGUAUGAUUUCUGCUGCUUUGUUUCAAUAAUUUCUGGUUGCUCGAGUUGAUUUGGGACUUAAAAUUGAAGCUGUGGUGCUUGUUAUGCAUUGCUGAACUUUUCUCAUCCUUAUUCUGCCUUUAUUUGGCUGGUAUUCUGUUCUGUUUCCUGUUGCGCAUUAGGUACACACCAAAACCCCUUUUGUACUCAUUUUGAUCUAUAUGACUAAUUACUUAAAUCAUCUCUGAAUCUGUGUAUGAGUUCAGUUAUUUAGAUUCUUGUGUUUAUGAGUUUUAACAUGCUCUUAUGUUUGAUUUACAUCUUCUGAUUCCAUGUGAAUUAAUGAAAUCAUGCUCAUUAUAGAAUGAUUUAAUUGAUAGUAAUGAAAUUACAGUGAUUGUAUUUGGAUUGUUCAAAUGUUCAGUAUGCACAGCUGUUUCUCUGGGCUAAUUGAAGCAGCCACUUAUGGAGGGUUUCAAAUCACAAUUUGAUGUACUAAUUUAGCUUUGUAAUUCUGAAAAUGAUCAGUGUUGAUGACUGAGAAUAGUUUAUAGUUAUUUUCAUUUGGUAAUAAUGUGUGUGAGUUAUAUGAAAAAUAAUGGAGUUUUAGAUGGCAUGAAAACUCGUUGGUUUGAACAGUAGUUAAUAUCAAAAUUCUUUUUAAUUUCAUGUAAUAAUGAGUUAACAAAAGGAUUUCGAGCUUUGAUAAUCAUGAACUAAUAUUGGAAGUAGUUAUAGUUAAUUUUUGAGAUGG
rnacentral:lncRNA from 1 species